AGUCUGCAACUCGACUGCAUGAAGCUGGAAUCGCUAGUAAUCGCGAAUCAGAAUGUCGCGGUGAAUACGUUCCCGGGUCUUGUACACACCGCCCGUCACACCAUGGGAGCCGACAACGCCCGAAGUCAGUGACCUAACCGAGAGGGAGGAGCUGCCGAAGGCGGGGUUGGUAACUGGGGUGAAGUCGUAACAAGGUAAC
rnacentral:rRNA from 1 species